CAGCUUCAAACCUGUUAGGAAUGUUAAGAGAAUUUCUGGUCGUCGGCUUCUUGACAUGGCGAGUCGAUGGCGUUUUAUUAACGCGUAAUCAGUGCUCUGAGGAACUAUCCACAGUCGACAGCAUCCAAGGAAAUGUUG